rnacentral:tRNA from 1 species
AGAAAGAUGGCUGAGAGGUCUAAAGCGACAUAUUGCUAAUUUGUUUUUAUAAUAAUUUAUAAUUAUUAUAACAAGGGUUCAAAUCCCUUUCUUUCUA